UGGGCUGGCUCUGUGGAGUAGGGGAAAGAUAAAACUUAAAGCUCUAGCAUUCAGGACCAGAAGCUCGAUACAGUCGUUUAGGGCUACAUGCUGAUGUCUUUCUUUCCAUGUUCCUCUUUCUGUGCAGAAGGCCAGAGGUAAAGUUCGCUGCUGUGUGCUGACCUCCGUGCUGAUGGGAGCGAGCUUAUUGCUCCCCUGACUGCACUUCCGUGGCAGCUUCUUUAGACAGAUGCUCCAGCUACACUUUGUGUCCACAGGGACAUCUGAAGAAACACGAAGCAUAAGCCCCACCCAAGCCUCUACUCCUAUGGACUCUGCCGCAUCACUCUGACCUGAGCCCCAGUUGGAAGUCUGGCUAGGUUUGCUGUUUAUAUGUUUUAUAGGAAGACACAUGGUG
rnacentral:lncRNA from 1 species